rnacentral:lncRNA from 1 species
AUAUACUUAAUUUACUUUAAUUGUGCACAAACUUGUUUUAAUGUUAUAAAAAUUUUUGAAAAAUCCAGUUUACCCCCCCUUUUGGUUUUCCUAUCUAGGAAAUAACUGCAUAGAAGUCUAUCCUAGAAGAACUAGAAAGAUCAGAAAUUGAGGUACAGUUAUACAAGUUUGAAUGUCAGCUUGACCCUUAUGGUGCAGCCCACC